GAUUGGAAUCUGAUUUAAAUGGUUGACUGUCCACACUGUGUAUCGCAUCUGUUCAGAUCCGGUUUGUGUAUUCCAUUGUGAUCUUACAUUUUAC